AGAGUUUGAUCCUGGCUCAGAACGAACGCUGGCGGCAGGCCUAACACAUGCAAGUCGAACGCGUCUUUCGGGACGAGUGGCAGACGGGUGAGUAACGCGUGGGAACGUACCCUUUGGUUCGGAACAACAGCGGGAAACUGCUGCUAAUACCGGAUAAGCCCUUCGGGGGAAAGAUUUAUCGCCAGAGGAUCGGCCCGCGUUAGAUUAGCUUGUUGGUGAGGUAAUGGCUCACCAAGGCUACGAUCUAUAGCUGGUCUGAGAGGAUGAUCAGCCACACUGGGACUGAGACACGGCCCAGACUCUUACGGGAGGCAGCAGUGGGGAAUCUUGGACAAUGGGCGAAAGCCUGAUCCAGCCAUGCCGCGUGAAUGAUGAAGGCCCUAGGGUUGUAAAAUUCUUUCGACGGGGAAGAUAAUGACGGUACCCGUAGAAGAAGCUCCGGCUAACUUCGUGCCAGCAGCCGCGGUAAUACGAAGGGGGCUAGCGUUGUUCGGAAUUACUGGGCGUAAAGCGCACGUAGGCGGAUCGAUAAGUAAGAGGUGAAAUCCCAGAGC
rnacentral:rRNA from 1 species